rnacentral:rRNA from 1 species
CCUACGGGUGGCAGCAGUAGGGAAUCUUUCACAAUGGGCGAAAGCCUGAUGGAGCAACGCCGCGUGCAGGAUGAAGGCCUUCGGGUUGUAAACUGCUUUUAUAAGCGAGAAAUAUGAUGGUAACUUAUGAAUAAGGAUCGGCUAACUACGUGCCAGCAGCCGCGGUCAUACGUAGGAUCCGAGCAUUAUCCGGAGUGACUGGGUGUAAAGAGUUGCGUAGGUGGCAUAAUAAGUAGCUAGUGCAAUCUGGUGGCUCAACCAUUCAGACUAUUAGCUAAACUGUUAAGCUCGAGACCGUGAGGGGUAACUGGAAUGUCUAGUGUAGGAGUGAAAUCCGUAGAUAUUAGGAAGAACACCGAUAGCGUAGGCAGGUUGCUGGGGCGGUUCUGACACUAAGGCACGAAAGCGUAGGGAGCAAACGGGAUUAGAUACCCCGGUAGUC